GGGGUGAGAGAGGGAGGGAGGUGGGGGUGAGAGAGGGAGGGAGGUGGGGGUGAGAGGGGAGGGAGGUGGGAGGGAGGAUAGUGCUGCUCACAACCUAUUUAUGUCAAAGGUUGCUGAAGUGAAUAAUGCACAUCUCAAAUACUUUCUAAUUACAGAUGGUUUCAUGGAAAAAGGACUAAAUCACAUUCUUUGUUGAACAUUCUGAUUGCUGCUGGGACAAUCCUGAGAAACGAGUACAGUACAUACAGAUGUUUAUUUAUUUCACCUUUAUUUAACCAGGUAGGCUAGUUGAGAACAAGGUCUCAUUUACAACUGCGACCUGGCCAAGAUAAAGCAUAGCAAUUCGACCCAAUACAACAACACAGAGUUACACAUAGGCUUGCCCUUUACAAGUUAGUCCAUGAUAUCAUACAGGGCUUGAAUAAGAGUUGGGUCGUUAUUCAUUAGUGCACACUGUAGCAAAACGUUUUGCAACAGAUAAUCCAAAACUAAGCGUUUCUUACUGGACAAGUUCAGUUAUUCCUUCCCUGUUUCAGUCUGUUUUCUUAUGUUUGGCGUCUAGUGAAUACGAACCUGCGAUGGGAGUUGGUGUGGACGAGACGAAUCUAGCCCUUCUAGGAAGGAGAGGGGGAGCAGACUGGAAAAGAUGCCAACGAUACCAGAGAAGAUCAAAAACCUUCUGCUGCUUCAAGGACAAAUACAAGUUUUUAGAUGGAUUUUGAUGCACAGGAUACUACUAUCAACAAAACAAAAGCAUUUAAAAUGAAUCUUCCACUUUUCAUUUUGUCCAUCCAUUAAAAACAUUUGUGAAUGAUUUCACUAAUCCAAAUCAAGGAGCCAUUUCUGACCGGUACACCUUUUCCUUUUUAGAAGUUGUGGUUCGUUAAACCAAGGAAAGUCGUGACGUUUCUCUCGGUCUCAAUGACCAUUAGUUCCAUGUAUCUUCUGUUGUUGAUUCACUGAUAUCAGUUUAUUCUCUGUUCUAACCAAAGGACUAGCAUCAUAAGGACUAGCAUCAUGGACUAGCAUCAUGUACUAGCAUCAUAAGGACUAGCAUCAUGGACUAGCAUCAUAAGGACAAGCAUCAUGGACUAGCAUCAUAAGGACAAGCAUCAUGGACUAGCAUCAUGGACUAGCAUCAUCAUGGACUAGCAUCAUAAGGACAAGCAUCAUGGACUAGCAUCAU
ensembl:lncRNA